UACGUAGGGGGCAAGCGUUGUCCGGAUUUAUUGGGCGUAAAGAGCGUGUAGGCGGCCAGAUAGGUCUGUUGUGAAAACUCGAGGCUCAACCUCGAGACGCCGAUGGAAACCAUUUGGCUAGAGUCCGGAAGAGGAGAGUGGAAUUCCUGGUGUAGCGGUGAAAUGCGCAGAUAUCAGGAAGAACACCCGUGGCUAAGGCGGCUCUCUAGUACGGUACUGACGCUGAGACGCGAAAGCGUGGGGAGCGAGCAGG
rnacentral:rRNA from 1 species